UACAGGUGGGUGCAAACGUUGCUCGGAAUUAUUGGGCGUAAAGCGCACGUAGGCGGUUCGUUAAGUCGGAUGUGAAGACCGCUGGCUCAACUGAGGAAGUGCACCGAACCUGACGAGCUUGAGUACGAAAGAGGAUCGCGGAAUUCCCGGUGUAGAGGUGAAAUUCGUAGAUAUCGGGAGGAACACCGGUGGCGAAGGCGACGAUCUGGGUCGAUACUGACGCUGAGGUGCGAAAGCGUGGGGAGCAAACAGG
rnacentral:rRNA from 1 species